CGGCGGACGGGUGAGUAAUGCCUAGGAAUCUGCCUGGUAGUGGGGGACAACGUUUCGAAAGGAACGCUAAUACCGCAUACGUCCUACGGGAGAAAGCAGGGACCUCGGGCCUUGCGCUAUCAGAUGAGCCUAGGUCGGAUUAGCUAGUUGGUGAGGUAAUGGCUCACCAAGGCGACGAUCCGUAACUGGUCUGAGAGGAUGAUCAGUCACACUGGAACUGAGACACGGUCCAGACUCCUACGGGAGGCAGCAGGU
rnacentral:rRNA from 1 species